CUUCCGUAGGGUGAACCUGCGGAAGGAUCAUUAACCGUUACAAACAGUGUGUGCUGCGGCCCCCGAGGUGAGGCAACGAGCCUUCGGGAGGUCUGGGGUCCGCCCCUUCACGCGCACGCGUCUGCCAUCCUUACUUUACGAGCACCUUCUGUUCUCCCUCGGCAUGCGUCCUGCGCUGCCGUUGGAAUUACAAAACUCUUUUUUGCAUCUAGCAUUACCUGUUCCGACAAAACAAUCGUUACAACUUUCAACAAUGGAUCUCUUGGCUCUGGCAUCGAUGAAGAACGCAGCGAAAUGCGAUAAGUAGUGUGAAUUGCAGAAUUCAGUGAAUCAUCGAAUCUUUGAACGCACAUUGCGCCCCUCGGUAUUCCGUGGGGCAUGCCUGUUCGAGCGUCUCUACACCCUCAAGCUCUGCUUGGUGUUGGGCGUCUGUCCCGCCUCGGCGCGCGGACUCGCCCCAAAUGCAUUGGCAGCGGUCUUUGCCUCCUCUCGCGCAGCACAUUGCGCUUCUCGAGGUGUCGCGGACACGCGUCCAGUAAGCAACAUUUACCGUCUUUGACCUCGGAUCAGGUAGGGAUACCCGCUGAACUUAAGCAUAUCAAUAAGU
rnacentral:rRNA from 1 species